rnacentral:rRNA from 1 species
UACGUAGGUGGCAAGCGUUGUCCGGAAUUAUUGGGCGUAAAGCGCGCGCAGGUGGGAUAAUAAGUCUGAUGUUAAAGUUCGGGGCUCAACCCCGUGAAGCAUUUGGAUACUGUUAUUCUUGAGUGCAGGAGAGGAAAGUGGAAUUCCUAGUGUAGCGGUGAAAUGCGUAGAUAUUAGGAGGAACACCAGUGGCGAAGGCGACUUUCUGGACUGUGUCUGACACUGAGGCGCGAAAGCCAGGGUAGUGAACGGGAUUAGAAACCCGUGUAGU